AAUGUGUGAAUUUUUUAUACAUUUAGCAAUUCAAUUAAUUAAUUUUUUGGAGGUUUUCUCUCAUGCAACAAGGUACAGUAAAAUGGUUUAACUCAGAAAAAGGUUUCGGUUUCAUCGAAGUUGAAGGCGGUAACGAUGUAUUCGUACACUUCUCAGCUAUCCAAGGCGAAGGUUUCAAAACUUUAGACGAAGGUCAAAAAGUUGAAUUCGACGUUGAAGAAGGCAACCGUGGCCCACAAGCUACUAACGUAACAAAACUUUAAUUCUAACGAAUUAAGUUCACAUAGUUAGUUGCAAGAAGCAUACUCUAUCGGGUAUGCUUCUUUU
rnacentral:other from 1 species